UAGGAAUCAAAAUUAGCCUCUAAGGUCUGAAUUUUCUUUAUUUCCUUGAUAAUACAUUACUUUUUAAAAUCUAAUCUUAAGGUAUUUCCCUAGGUAUCUAUGAGUACCUAAUUGUCAUGAAAUUAGCCAAGGGGUCAUUUCUUUACGUCAGAUUUCAGAAAAAUUAUAAACAUGAAUCCAUUUACUCCUUAGCAUCAUUUUAAUCAACUCUCACCACUUUUGUUUCAUUUUCCUACUUCUCCUCUCCUGGGGAGCUUAUUCUGGAUUUUGGCUCACUUACUGUAAUGAUUAGAAGAACCCUUUAGGCUAAAAGUCUAAAAAGGGCUGAAUAAGCAUGUCUAAAGCUCACAGAAUUACCGAAGAACUUGUUGUAGCUAAAACCAGGAAGAGAUUCAGGAAAUAAUGAUCUGUAAAGAGUGUUAGCAUUAUGUGAAGUGUGUUCUCUUCACUGGUAAAGAUGAUGACAAAUAACAAAAACUGUGAUACAAGUUUCUCUGAGAACAUUUUAAGAAAUAUUUUACUUUUUGGAAUUUAGUCUAAUUGAGCAUUAUAAAAUUUGGACAUGGUAGAAGUGUCUUUUCAUGAGUGACAUUUACAACUUGGUCUGCCUCUCCAGUAGAAGGAGAAAUUGUUACUAUUGAAGUAGUUGAAGAAGAACCCAGAAUUUGAAGCUACCCAUCUAAAACCUUAAGCUAGUAGAAACAGGUUAACUAUGGAAACAAAAUGAUACCCCAUCAUUGUUAGACUAUUCUGGCAUCAUUUAUCUUUACUGCAUUUUAUGAGUUAAACAUCUUAGAAAAGACAGUUAUUACAUGCUUUGAAGUUGAUGUUGAACUUUCAAUGUUACAUAGAUGAGGUUUGUCACAAGACCCACUACCCCAGUUCCCUUCCUUCCUGAACUAUUUUCUAGGCAUGAUCUGUUAGGACAAUUUCUGACAUCUUGACCUAGGAUGGAAGUGUUCUGAUGGAAGAUUCUAUGCCAGUCCAGAAGUAUAAAACCAAAACCAGGCAUUGCAACAAAAGUGAAAACAAUUGCUAAUGAGUCAAAAGAAUGAACAAAUUCCACUAAAUCUUAGCGUGAAGCUUGAAAAGGGGAAAAAAAAAGGUAAGGAAACUAUCAGUCACAAGACUGUGAAUUUACUCCCAGCCUUCUCCCAAACAGUGCCAAGUUCCAGGAAAAACAUGUACAUUUGCCAGGUCAACUCUUCCAUACUCUUAGAAGGAGUGGAAAUUGAUGCAAUUUCUUUGGGGUACAUUCUUAGAAGGAGUGGAAAUUGAUGCAAUUUCUUUGGGGGACAAAUUCAUCUAAAUUUAAAAUAUAUAGGGGUUCUCUUGUGGUGCAGUGGGUUAAGGAUCCAGCAUCGUCACUGCAAUGACUCAGGUGGCUGCUAUGGUGUGGGUUUGAUCUCUGGCCCAGGAACUUCCACAUGCCAAGGCCAAAACAAACAAACAAACAAUGUGUACUCUCUUUGAGAAUUUCAUUUUUAGUAAUCUGCAUGGCAUAUAUAAUCCACAUGUAUGUUUUCAAAAUUGUAUGUGCAUUAUUUGUAAGAACACAAGAUUGGAAACACAUAAAUAUGUCAGUGGAGGACUGGUUACAUAAAUUAUGUUACAUUUAUACAGUGGAACAGCUACAUGUCCUGAAAAAGUGAGUUGAAGUGUAACAAUCUGCAAAAUGUGUUGUGAACAAAAAAAAUACUAAGCUUUCUCCCCCUUCCUUGUAUAUACAUUGAAUUUCUCUGGAAGGAGACACAUGGACUGAUGACUGUGUCUGCUUCUAGAAAAGGAGACUAAAGGACCCAGGAACAGGGCAACAGGGCAAGGAGGAAGAACUGCAUUCUACUACACAGAGUUUAGAUUUUUAACAUUCUACAUAUAGCUAAUUUUAUUUUAUUUUUUAUUUUAGUUACUUAUUUGUUUAUUUAUUUAUUUAUUGCUUUUUAGGGCCACAUCUGCAGCAUAUGGAGGUUCCCAGGCUAGGGGUCUAAUCAGAGCUACAGCUGCCGGCCUUUGCCACACCCACAACAACAUGGGAUCUGAGACACGUGUGCAAUCUAUACCAUAGCUCAUUCUUAACCCACUGAAUGAGGCUAGGGAUGGAACCCACAACCUCAUGAUUCCUAGCUGGAUUCAUUUCCGCUGAGCCAUGAUGGGAACACCCAUAUUGCUAAUUUUAAAAGUUACUUUUUAAAAUGUAUGCAUUGCCACAGUCAUGGUAUCUGUAACUUUUAUCAUCAAUGGAAAUCAAGUUUAUCAUACAUAUUAAAGUUGUUUCGGCUAUCUGGAAACUGCGAAGCUCAACUGCAGUGGAAAUUAUAGUCGUUAUCAAACUGGAUAAUAGAUCUUAUUUGCGUGCUAAUAAAGAAACACGUAGGAGUCCCUGGUGGCCUAGCAGUUAGGUAUUAUCCGGUGUUGUCACUGCUGUGAGUCAGGUUUGAUCUGUGGUCUGGGAACUUCUGUAUGCCAUGAGUGCAGCCAAAAAAAAAAA
rnacentral:lncRNA from 1 species